GAUGAACGCUGACAGCAUGCUUAACACAUGCAAGUCAACUUGAACUUCGGUUUGGGUGGCGGACGGGUGAGUAACGCGUAAAGAACUUGCAUCACAGAUAGGGACAACAUUUGGAAACGAAUGCUAAUACCUGAUAUUAUGAUUUUAGGGCAUCCUAGGAUUAUGAAAGCUAUAUGCGCUGUGAGAGAGCUUUGCGUCCCAUUAGCUAGUUGGAGAGGUAACGGCUCACCAAGGCGAUGAUGGGUAGCCGGCCUGAGAGGGAGAUCGGCCACAAGGGGACUGAGACACGGCCCUUACGCCUACGGGAGGCAGCAGUGAGAAAUAGUCGACGAUGGACCAAGAGUCUGAUCCAGCUAUUCUGUGUGCACGAUGAAGUUUUUCGGGAUGAAAAGUGCUGUCAGUUGGGAAGAAAAAAAUGACGGUACCAACAGAAGAAGCGACGGCUAAAUACGUG
rnacentral:rRNA from 1 species